rnacentral:rRNA from 1 species
UACGUAGGGUGCAAGCGUUGUCCGGAAUUAUUGGGCGUAAAGAGCUCGUAGGCGGUUUGUCGCGUCUGCUGUGAAAACCCGAGGCUCAACCUCGGGCCUGCAGUGGGUACGGGCAGACUAGAGUGCGGUAGGGGAGAUUGGAAUUCCUGGUGUAGCGGUGGAAUGCGCAGAUAUCAGGAGGAACACCAAUGGCGAAGGCAGAUCUCUGGGCCGUAACUUGACGCUGAGGAGCGAAAGCAUGGGGAGCGAACAGG